rnacentral:lncRNA from 1 species
AAUUCCAGAAGUGUGUUUGUUAAAACUGAUAGAGAAAUAUAAAACUAAUACAUGGAAUGAGUCUCUGUCAAUGUGGUGGCAAAUAACUUUGUUUCUCAUCACUGCCUUCAAAACAAAGCCCCAACAUCCUCCCAGGAUAAUCUGAGGAUGCUUCCUUAACUUUCUGGUCAUUCCAGUUAUAAGAACAAAUCUUAUUUCAUUAAUUACAACUCAUUUUUAUGUGUUACAAAGUCCAGACAAGUCCAAUUGUAUCCUUUAUUGCCUCAUGUAACAAAACUAUCCCCAGCCCCAUCCAACUUAGGCUCAGAGCUGGGUUUGGAGAACUGCAAGACAGUAGGUUACUGUCAGUAUAAUCAGCUUUCUCUCUCUCUCUCUCUCUCUCUCACACACACACACACACACACACACACACAUCCCCUUUCCUUCCCUCCCUUGAUUUUUCACUGCAACUUCCCUACUUGUGAAUCUUCCACACUCAGUGCAACUGGAAUGGAGAUUAGAGGAAAAGAAUGAUUUCGUAGUUUCCCUACAUGGCUGAUGUACUGACUGAUCUCUUAAUUUUUCCCUUGGCCUCAGGCCCUAGUGACCUACCCACCUCACAGCUCCUCACUCCUAGGAUCUCUUCUCUGGAGAAGGCAGCAACCUGGGGCAGUGUCUCAUCAGGGCAGCUCAACCUCACUGCUUCCCCUUGCCUUAUAGGCUCCAUAAAAUAGUGGGAAAGUAGACUUGCCUUUCUGUUUCUCUCUCUCUCUCUCUCUCUCUCUCUCUCUCUCUCUCUGUCUGUCUGUCUGUCUGCAGCCUCUUGAGCAGCUCCAAUAUUCCCUCCCACCCCCUACUUCCAUGACUUCUGAAGCAACUGUCAUUGACAUUCUCUCUACAGCCCCUGGCCGCAGAUACAAAGGAUGCAUUUCAAGCUCUCCCAAGAACUCUUGCAGUGCUCCAUCCCUGUGUCCUCAGAAAUGGCCCUGAGUCUCAGCAGCUCAAAAAGACUCCAGUUGGAUAGUGAGAAGCCACUGCUUCCUUGCAAGAACCUUCCCAAAUUUCUCUAAUUUCUGGGAGAAUAACAAAAAGAAGGAAGAUUCAGUAGGAAAGGAAAGCAAUGAAGAAGCCAAGAAAGAGACAAGGAACCCCGGAAAGAGAGUCAGCAAAGAGAGAAAUAGAAACAUUAAUUUCAGGUGAAGAAACUGAAGACUUUAGCCAGAGCCAAGUGGCUAAUUCAGAGUUUAAUACACCUUUGACCUCAAACCCUUUGUGGUCACCUUUGAACAGUGCCUCCCUCUCUGAAAUAAAAUACUGGUUCUGUCAUUAAUUAUUAAUUAUUGAUUAAUUUCUCUUGAUUUUCAUUUUCUCCUAUGCAAAAUUCUGUUACUGAAUUACAUGAAUUCCAAGACCUCUUUCUGAUCUAACAUCCCAUCAUUCCCCUGUUAAAAAGAUAACAUAAAACCAGAAACAAAGUAUGUAAUUGUAAUGCCAAAUUUUUAAACAUAGUUGAUUAUUCCACCUUGAAAAUGUAAAUACUACAUGAAGCGUCAACAAAUAAACCAUUAGGUCAAUAUUUACUGAGAGCUGACUCUCCAUCAGAGUGAUGCUUGUAAUUGACAUGGAGGGCAAAAUGAUUUUAAAAAGUAAGAUUCCUGCCUUCUUGGAACUCAGAGACAAAUGUGGGAAAUGGGCAACUCAAGAAACAAUUUCAAAAUCAUAUGUUAAGUCAAGAAACUGGACAUGAAAGAAGGGGCAUGUAGUAGACACCAGCAAGUCAGGAAAGGCUCUCUGUCAAGGGAAAUGCACUUAGAAGGACAAGAAUUUAACCAAGUAAAUAAACAGGAGAGAGAAAGAUGUUUCAUGCAGAGAGUUGCAGAUAUGAGAAUAAGCUAAUAGCCUAAAAGUUAAUUUGCAUACUGUAACCAUUCAACUCUCAAAAUGUUCCCUUAUUUGCCAUGUAAACCACAGGUCCUAAUGUAGCAGAAGUAAUCCUAAAUAAAUCUGUUCUACAGUUGAGCAAAAUGAUUUUCAUAGAUGUUAAGCAACAUGACUAAGCCAUCCCCAUUGUGGCGGAUUCGAGUACAAAUCCUAUGCUCUUUUCCUCUAAUCAUCACCAUCUCCCUGUACAUUUCUUUCUUGAGGCUCAGCUGAACAUAAAUAAUCCCGGUGCAGAACACUGGACAACUGAAGCAAAACUGAGUAAUUCAAAAGAAGAUAUAUGAAUAUAUAAUCAGCUGAAAAACCAGAUAUGAAUCUGCUCUAAACCCAUUUCGAAAGCCCUCCUUGAAUCUGUUCUGCAGCCAUGUAUUACAGGCAUCUCAAAGAAAGAGAUUUUUUUUCUGCAAAAUGGUAGCUGGAGGAGAAUUUUCUCUCCUCUGAGGUUUAAGAGGGCAAGCCAUCAAGCCCACAGAACUGUAAACGUACAAUCAGGCUCAUUUUGUAUAAGCAAAAGCAUAAUUUUAUGUGCGGCUUGGCAAUCAUGAUAAUUUAUGAAUUUAUAUAUUUUAACAAGGUAUGACCCAACUAUAAUUUUUGAACCAAAAAGGUAAAACAAACUUGAGUUUUCCUUACUAAUUUUUACAUCUCAAGGAAGGAAUGAUUUUUUCAAAUGUCCACUUCAUGACAUUCACUUCUUAACUGCAUGUUUGGUGUAUUGAGAAAAAGUAAAUGCCCUUAAGUGUGUGGAUUUUAUAUUUAGCAGGUGUUUUCCCAGACUUGACUGGGUUUGAAAAAGGUGCAGACAUAUGAGUCACAUUCUCAAUGACAACAAAAAUGAGAAACAAUACUCCAGAGAUUAAGGCCCCAAAAGAGAGAUGCAGAUUUUUCCAAAGUUUGAUGCUAUAAAAGCAAUUUAUUUUGGAACAUGUUAACAACUUUAAAGCAGAUAUUAGACAACUGUGCUCUCUAAAGAUUUUGACUACCCUGCUUCAAGCAACUGUUCAUCUGCUUAAUUGUUAAGUCCCUUCUUAGAAAGUUUCAGAGUCUCACCACGUGACAUGGCUCCUUCCUCCAACCUCAGAUUACGACAAACAUAUUCAGUUGAACAUUUCACAUGGCAGCAUUUUUCCAUUUUAAUGGUAUAAGCCAUACUCUUGGUGUUUCUCCUAACCCAGCUGAAGUGGACUAUAUAGCUAUUUUUCUAGAGGAGAAGUUCUCUUUCCAAAAGGAACUCUGAUGCUAAUUCUUUUGUUUUUAAAGAUGGGAAGAUAAUGUUUUCCACUAAAAUAGCAAUAAUUUUGUUAAAUAUAAUUAAUUUUGAAAAGUUAUCAUAAACAACAAACAUUAAUCAGGGAGAUAAAUAGAGACUUAAGGUGGGAAAUACGUUCAUUCCAUAAAACCCUUCAUUCAGCAUUUAUUUAAUAAACAUUUACUGAGUGCUAUGUGCAAUGAUCUGUAGUGAAUGAACAGUGAAGGACCAAACAGCCAUGGACUCUUGAAGUUAUAGCCCAAAAGGGAUGACUGGUCAUUUUUUUAAAGUCUACAUACAAGAACUUGCAAGAGAUGAUGUGAAGAAAAUAGGUGAGUGCAAUGGCAAAAUGGAGUAAGUGGCAUCUGCUUGGAGAAGAUGGUCAGAAAAACUGCCUGUAAAGAGGUGAUAUUUCCAGCACUUUGGGAGGCCAGGGCAGGUGGAUCAUGAGGUCAGGAGAUCGAGACCGUCCUGGCUAACACAGUGAAACCCCGUCUCUACUAAAAAAUACAAAAAAUUAGCCAGGCAUGGUGGCGGGCGCCUGUAGUCCCAGCGACUCAGGAGGCUGAGGCAGGAGAAUGAUGUGAACCCGGGAGGUGGAGCUUGCAGUGAGCCAAGAUCAUGCCACUGCACUCCAGCCUGGGCAACAGAGCGAGACUCCAUCUCAAAAAAAAGUGGGGGGGGUGAUAUUUGGGCCAAGCCCUAUAGAAUGGGAGGACAGUGUCCACCUGAAGACUCAUGUCAGAGUGUCACUGGCAGGACAAGUCUCUGAGGAGGGAAAGGAGAAGCUGAAAGGAAGACAGUGAGGCUGGCCACAACCACCCCAGACAAACACAGAUCUUCUCUCUGUGUUACAAAGAGUGUUACAAAGUCCACCCUUUGUAAUAGUGAGCAGCAACUUUCACCUGGAGAAAAGGGUGCUGAACCACUCACACUCCUACGGCUCCAUGUGGAGCCCCCUUCCUCCUACUCUCUCUUAAGCAGGGGCUCCUUUUAAAUGGAAGCCCUAAAUGCUGUGUUGUGGUGACACUGAAGGAAACAUCCACCAAGCCCUCAGGACAUGUCAGGGAACGUAAAUACUGAUCCAUCUGCAACUCAUUUCCUGACCCUUUAGAAAGUAGACCAACAGACAAACUUUCGACUGAUGGCUAGUUUUUUGUUUUGUUUUGUUUUUAAAUCUUGCUUAUUGGUAACAGAGUCAUCAAAAGUGCUAUGUUUGGGCAGGGGCCUGUGGCAGUUACUUGAUGAAAUGCAGCAAUUGACAUUUAUUGAUUAUGACAUAAUCAAAACACCAUAUAAAAGCCUUUAGAAAAACACAUAUGGACAUGAUAGUCAAUAGUUGUCCAAAAAAGAUGAUAUUGCUUAUUCAUAAGUUAGUAUCAGUCUGAGUUGGAUUUAGAGAAUUUCAAAACCCUUUCUAUUCCAACCGAUGUAUGACGUAUAUACUAAACAUUGCUGUAGCAUCUGUGCCCGAUAAACUACUUCUUUGGUAUCACAAGUGAAGGUAGAUAAUAGAUAUAUGAAACAAUUCUCAGAGUCCAUUUAACUUUUCUUUUUUAACUAGAGACAGUUACUUGUAGUCUUACCAAAAUGUGUUAAUACAAACCCGCAGAGAAAAGUAGAUAAACCAUAAUGAUAAUUACAACUGAAUUUAUCCAUCACAAUAAUUCUAAUGAUAAUUGCUAAUCUUGGUGGUAAUUCACCCAUUGAGAAGACUCCACCAAGGCUAUGCCACUUCAGGAUAUAACACCUGAUAUCAAACUUGGUGACUGAGAAGGAUCUCAAAAUGCAUUUGAGAAGUAGAAAUCAGGAAAUUGUUACUUCUCUUUCUAGUCAAGUCCUCAACAUCCACGUCAAGUUUUAUCUUUGAAUGUGAGGUGGGAGAGCAUAUAUUUCUCUGAAAAGCUUAUUAAUUUCCAUGGUUUUCUCUACGUGUUCUUAUCUGUAAAAUGGGAAGAGUUAACACAUGAAAAGUAGAGCCUGCCCGUGAAUGAGCAUAUCCACUGACAGAUGACAUUCUUCCAGCCACUGUUUUUCACCCUGCUUACUAAUAUUAUUAUUAUCAUUUAUAACAAGUAUUUCUGUCUAUGAUGGUUUUGAAAGGACUCUUACAGUGUCCCUUAAUAAAAAGAGACCCAUAACCUAAAACAAUGACCCUAUUCACAUGGCAUUUAAGCUAAGAGCCUAAAAGGUCAUGUAGGAGAUCGGUCAGUAUGGUGGCAGAAAUUACAGGGAAAGGGCGCAAACCUUCUGAAAGGUCAGAAGGCUCUGCAUAGCUUUGGGGAAGAAUAAGCUGAAGGCAGCUGUUCUCUUACCCUGAGGCAGAGGGCAAGGAUUAGGUACAAGGAAGUGCAGGGGAAUUUAGGUACAAGGAAGUGUAGGGGAAACAGGCUUGUUUACUUAUGUUAACCAGGAACCGACCUUUGGUAAUUAUUUAUUUCAGGUGCUUUAAAUUAUGCCUAAUCCCUAGGAUGACACAAAGCAAAGUCACCCUCGCUUUCAGGAUUACAGAAAAUCAAAAAUUACAGUAACUUGUAAAAGGCUCAAGCUUUUAAGUAAUUAAGCUAGGGUUCAAGUUCAGGCCUCACUCACUCUUAAAGCUGUGCUUUCUCUAGCUCAACAAGCAUUGUCAUAAGUAGUUGCCUCCUUACUUUUUCUUAAUUGUGCCCUUCCUUUCCCAGACUUUAUCAUGGCCAAGUUCAAGCCCUUAUCAUGCCUCAUUGAAGAAUUAAAAAUGGUUCCAGAUUUGCCCCCUUCAAAUACACCCUACACACUGCCACCAGAGUUAUAUAACAGCAGUGCAAAUUUAACUGUGACUGCUUUUUUUAUGUCAACAAAUCACUUCAAUUACAUGCCAAGCUUUCAUCCCAGCCUGUGAAGCCUCCAUGACAUCUGCCUGAACUUCGAGAAACCCACAUCUCGUGUUUUAAUUUCUGGUAAUAUGAAACUACAUUUGGUUCCCCAGGCACACCCUAUUAUUCAUUCUGCACUGCAUUUUUGCUCUCUUUUAGUGGAAUAAAAGAGAAUUUUAGAUACGAACAUGUGUGACCAGGUUUGGGGUGGAGAAAAGGUGAUGACUUCCCUGACUAAAAAUCAUCUCGGACACCUUCUCCUUCAGAAAUGCUGGCCACCUCUUAUUCCUCAAGCUGAAUGAGAAGAAUCUCUUUCAAACUCACAGCACCCUGUGCCUACUUCUCUUAUUAUUAUGAAAUGUUCUAUGCAUAUAUAUAUUUCAUUUAGCUUUGUUUCUCCAGUACUUGGUAAUAAUAGAAAUUUGGUAAAAAAAAAUUGUUGAAAUAAACUGAACCAACUUGCCCAAGAAUAACAUCUAAGAAAUAGAAGAAUCAGUACUUAAUCUAUGUGGUUAAAGAUUCAAUUGCAUGGUCCUUCUUGAAACAUAAUAUGGGGCAGAAGAGCUAGAUCAUGCCCCUUCGUAAACCUACAGUAAUUGUCAUCUUGGGAGCAAAUAAUAGAGAAAUAUUUGUAAACAUGUUAUAAACCGUUAGUAUCGAUAUGUUGUAGAUCUCUGCUAAUUUCUAGUGUGGAUCACUGUAUUUCUGAAGUGUCUGAAAUACAGCACCAAAGUUUGCAUCUAAAUGAAAUAUGUUCAUACCAACAAUGCCCUUUAGUAAUCGUAUAAUUACUGCAUUGCCUGGUACUGUUUACAGACAUUCAGUUAUUAAAUACAGAUUUAGAUGCAAGGAAGGAAAUCAGAAUUUUUCUUGUUAUGCUCUCUAUUGAGAAGUAAUUGAAGACUUAAAUAGAAAACAAAGCAUGAAAGACCUUCCACAAACCAAAAGUUAAACAUACAUUAAAUGAUCAUUAUCUUUUACCUUAAGAAAAUUAUGAAAAUGGAGAAUAUUUUAUCUACUGCCUAUAAGGGGUGAACAUAUAUAUUAAAUAUUAAAAGAAAAAAUUUCAAAUUAACUCCUUGAGACUGACAUUAUCUCCUCAUUGAAUUUCAAAUUAAAAUAAUUUCCCCUGUUGAAAGAAAUGCCUCCCUUUCUUUCCCCGGAUCCCUUCUUUCAUUUGCCUCUUAGAUGUGAGUGUCUCUUGGAUGCAAAAGAGACUUUGGCUCUUUUAAUCUCUUUUGCAUUCUGUAGAUUUCAUCAAGGAACUUCACUUCAAUUAACACUCAGAACCAGAUUACUACCAAGUUCAUGACUUCAACCCAUUUGUCUCUUCUGUCCUCCAUUCUUUUACAAAGAUCUUGUAGACAUUUGUAGGUGGCUAUACAGGAAUUACCUUAACCUCAGCAUAUCUGAUGAACCUGGUCAUCUUCUGCACAAAACUUAAACACACAUUCCUUAUUCUGGUAAAUCACACCACCCAGUUAGCAUCUAGCUUUCCCCUGCUCUCUCCCCUACAUCCAGUUUUUACCUAGUCAUGUUGAUUGUUCUUCCUAAACAUCUCUUAAUCUGGCUCCUCCUCUUUCACCCCAUUGUAACCGCCUUAAUUAAAACAUCUGUCAUUUCUCACUGCACAAUUGCAACAACUGGUUUUCCAGCCUCCAGUUUCUUUUCCAAUCAUACUUUUAUUCCACGGUCAGAGAUGUAUUUCUAUACUGACAGUCUGAUCACAUGACUCUCCUGAUUGCAAUAUUUCAAUGCACUUCCACAUAUAGGAAAGAAAAUUCAAACAUGUCUUUUGUAAUAUGACUUACCUCUCAGUAAGAGGUCAUCUUCCACCUCCAAUGUCUGACUUUUUCAUUCAACCUGGCAUGGCUCAUGUUAUACCCUCUGCAAAAUUAUUCUUCUCUUUUCUUCCUCUCUCACCUUCUAUUCUUCUCUACCCUGUAUCUUUCCAGAGAAAUAUACUCAUCCUUCAAUCUUGGCUGAAAUGUAACUCUUUCUUGGAAUCCUUCUGUGAUUCCCCUAAGCCCUUUCUGCCAAAGCUGUGAACACAGAAGCAUCAGAGUUCUUCUAAGAGCUGGUUGGUAGUGCAGAAUCUCAGGUGUGCCCCAGACCUACUAGGUCCCAUCCCACCCCAGGUGGUUUUUAUGGAUGUUAAAGUUUAAGAAGCCCUGUGGGUAGCUAUUUCUACUCCCAAAACUACAGUAGUAUCAGCAACACCUGGGAACUUGCUGAAAAUGCAAAUCACAAUCUGAUAAAAGACUUGUAUCCCGAAUAUAUAAAGGAUUCUCGAAACUCAAUUUUAAGCAAACAACCGAUCAAUUUUUUUUAACAGGCAAAAUAUUUGAACAGACACUUCACCAAAGAAGAGGUACACAUGGCAAAUAAGCAAUUGAACAGAUGCUCAACCCAAUUUGUCACUAGGAAAACUACCGGGAAGUGUAAAUAUUUACCUGUCAGAAUAGAAAUAACAACAAAACCUGGCAAUAUCCACUGCUGCUAGCAAGAAUGCGAAGCAACUGGAACUCUCAAACAUGGCUGGAGGAAAUGCAAGAUGGUGUAGCCACUUUGGAAAACAGUUUGUCAAUUUCUAAUAACGUUAAACACACACUUAGUACGUGACCAGGCAAGCUGUUACUCAGUAUUUACCCAAGUGGAAUAAAAAAAUUAUAUUCUGGCCAUGAGUCACAGUGGCUCAUGCCUGUAAUUACAGCACUUUGGAAGGCUGAGAUGGGCAGAUUACUUGAGGUCAGGAAUUCAAGACCAGCCUGGCCAACAUGGUAAAAUUCUGUUUCUACUAAAAAUACAAAAAGUUAG